rnacentral:rRNA from 1 species
GUGGGGAAUCUUGGACAAUGGGCGCAAGCCUGAUCCAGCCAUGCCGCGUGAGUGAAGAAGGCCUUCGGGUUGUAAACCUCUUUCACCGGUGAAGAUAAUGACGGUAGCCGGAGAAGAAGCCCCGGCUAACUCCGUGCCAGCAGCCGCGGUAAUACGGAGGGGGCUAGCGUUGUUCGGAAUUACUGGGCGUAAAGCGCGCGUAGGCGGCAUGGCAAGUUGGGCGUGAAAGCCCGGGGCUCAACCCCGGAUGUGCGCCUAAAACUACCAAGCUAGAGGCCGAGAGAGGGUGGCGGAAUUCCCAGUGUAGAGGUGAAAUUCGUAGAUAUUGGGAAGAACACCAGUGGCGAAGGCGGCCACCUGGCUCGGUUCUGACGCUGAGGUGCGAAAGCGUGGGGAGCAAACAGG